rnacentral:tRNA from 1 species
AUUUGGGUAGUUUAAUUUUAAAAUACAAGCUUGUGGUGCUUGUGAUGUGUAUAUUACUCCAGGUA